AACGAACGCUGGCGGCAUGCCUAACACAUGCAAGUCGAACGAGACCUUCGGGUCUAGUGGCGCACGGGUGCGUAACGCGUGGGAACCUGCCCUUAGGUUCGGAAUAACUCCCCGAAAGGGGUGCUAAUACCGGAUAAUGUCUUCGGACCAAAGAUUUAUCGCCUUUGGAUGGGCCCGCGUUGGAUUAGCUAGUUGGUAGGGUAAAAGCCUACCAAGGCGACGAUCAUAGCUGGUCUGAGAGGAUGAUCAGCCACACUGGGACUGAGACACGGCCCAGACUCCUACGGGAGGCAGCAGUGGGGAAUAUUGGACAAUGGGCGAAAGCCUGAUCCAGCAAUGCCGCGUGAGUGAUGAAGGCCUUAGGGUUGUAAAGCUCUUUUACCCGGGAUGAUAAUGACAGUACCGGGAGAAUAAGCUCCGGCUAACUCCGUG
rnacentral:rRNA from 1 species